rnacentral:rRNA from 1 species
GACGAACCGUGCGAACGUUAUUCGGAAUCACUGGGCUUAAAGCGCGUGUAGGCGGGAGGGCACGUCCGUCGCUGAAAUCCCCCGGCUCAACCGGGGAACGGGCGCGGAUACGACCUUCAUUGAGGGGCGUAGGGGGACCUGGAACUUCCGGUGGAGCGGUGAAAUGCGUUGAGAUCGGAAGGAACGCCCGUGGCGAAAGCGAGGUCCUGGACGCCUACUGACGCUGAGACGCGAAAGCCAGGGGAGCGAACGGG